rnacentral:rRNA from 1 species
CGUGAGUAACCUGCCUCUAAGAGGGGAAUAACAUUCUGAAAAGAAUGCUAAUACCGCAUAACAUAUAUUUAUCGCAUGGUAGAUAUAUCAAAGAUUUAUCGCUUAGAGAUGGACUCGCGUCCGAUUAGUUAGUUGGUGAGGUAACGGCUCACCAAGACUGCGAUCGGUAGCCGGACUGAGAGGUUGAACGGCCACAUUGGGACUGAGACACGGCCCAG